ACCCGGGGCGGGGAGCUAGCGGUGCCCUGUAACCGGCAAUCCGCUUUAGCCGGGCUUAAGUUUUUUUGAGGGUAUUAAGCCGGGGGACUCGGAGAUUUUUGCGGUGCUGAUGUCCGGGUCCGGUGCGCUCUUGGUCCUUGAACCCCGUCAGGUCCGGAAGGAAGCAGCGGUAAGAGAAUACUAAAGAGGUGUUGCCGGGCAGCCUGUGCGGAGCCGCAGGAGUUUUUGGAGCCCGAUUUGAUAUUCGAGAAAAAAUUCGGGU
rnacentral:SRP_RNA from 1 species